CCUACGGGAGGCUGCAGUGGGGAAUAUUGGACAAUGGGCGAAAGCCUGAUCCAGCCAUGCCGCGUGUGUGAAGAAGGCCUUCGGGUUGUAAAGCACUUUCAGUGGGGAAGAAAGCCUUGGGGCUAAUACCCUCGAGGAAGGACAUCACCCACAGAAGAAGCACCGGCUAACUCCGUGCCAGCAGCCGCGGUAAUACGGAGGGUGCGAGCGUUAAUCGGAAUUACUGGGCGUAAAGCGCGCGUAGGCGGUCUGAUAAGCCGGUUGUGAAAGCCCCGGGCUCAACCUGGGAACGGCAUCCGGAACUGUCAGGAUAGAGUGCAGGAGAGGAAGGUAGAAUUCCCGGUGUAGCGGUGAAAUGCGUAGAGAUCGGGAGGAAUACCAGUGGCGAAGGCGGCCUUCUGGACUGACACUGACGCUGAGGUGCGAAAGCGUGGGUAGCAAACAGGAUUAGAUACCCGAGUAGUC
rnacentral:rRNA from 1 species